rnacentral:rRNA from 1 species
UACGGAGGGUGCUAGCGUUAAUCGGAUUUACUGGACGUAAAGCGUGCGUAGGCGGUUUGUUAAGUCGGUUGUGAAAGCCCCGGGCUCAACCUGGGAAUUGCAGUCGAUACUGGCAGACUAGAGAACGGUAGAGGGAGGCGGAACUCCGGGUGUAGCGGUGAAAUGCGUAGAUAUCCGGAAGAACACCGAUGGCGAAGGCAACCUCCUGGGCCUGUUCUGACGCUGAGGCACGAAAGCGUGGGUAGCAAACAGG